AUUGAACGCUGGCGGCAGGCCUAACACAUGCAAGUCGAACGCGUGGCGGGCGGGUGUGUAAUGUCUGGGACACUGCCUGAUGGAGGGGGUUAACUACUGGAAACGGUCGCUAAUACCGCAUACCAGCGGAUGUGCCCAGAUGGGAUUGGCUAGUAGUUGGGGUAAAGGCUCACCAAGGCGACGAUCCCUAGCUGGUCUGAGAGGAUGACCGGCCACACUGGAACUGAGAAACGGUCCAGACUCCUACGGGAGGCAGAAGUGGGGAAUAGUUCACAAUGGGCGCAAGCCUGAUGGAGCCAUGCCGCGUGUAUGAAGAAGGCCUUCGGGUUGUAAAGUACUUUCAGCGGGGAGGCGUUACCCGCAGAAGAAGCACCGGCUAACUCCGUGCCAGCAGCCGCGGUAAUAC
rnacentral:rRNA from 1 species